UUUCUUUUUUAGAUCAGAUUGUGCACACACCCCACCUUUCUCCUCUUUUUAAAACAACGCAAGAUGUGUCUUAUCCGCGUGAGAGGAUAAAGAUAAGUGGUUGCACAUUUGAAUUCAAAUCGAAUUUGAAUUCAAAUGCAAACCAACUCAUCCCUAUCCACUUGGGUGUGAGAAGAGAAGGGGCGUGGCUUCUUUGUGCAUGGAGAG
rnacentral:lncRNA from 1 species